rnacentral:rRNA from 1 species
AGAGUUUGAUCCUGGCUCAGGGCGAACGCUGGCGGCGUGCCUAACACAUGCAAGUCGAGCGGGGUCCAUCCAGUGGCAACACUGGGGAAGACCUAGCGGCGAACGGGUGGGUAACACGUGAGGAACCUGCCCCGAAGACCGGGAUAACCCGAGGAAACUCGAGCUAAUACCGGAUACCCCCACGAGAUCGCAUGGUCUUGUGAGGAAAUGUCUUUUCGCUUCGGGAGGGCCUCGCGGCCUAUCAGCUAGUUGGCGGGGUAACGGCCCACCAAGGCAUCGACGGGUAGCUGGUCUGAGAGGACGAUCAGCCACACUGGGACUGAGACACGGCCCAGACUCCUACGGGAGGCAGCAGUGGGGAAUCUUGCGCAAUGGGCGAAAGCCUGACGCAGCAACGCCGCGUGGGGGACGAAGGCUCUCGGGUUGUAAACCCCUUUCAGGAGGGACGAAAUUGACGGUACCUCCAGAAGAAGCCCCGGCCAACUACGUGCCAGCAGCCGCGGUAACACGUAGGGGGCGAGCGUUGUCCGGAUUUAUUGGGCGUAAAGAGCUCGUAGGUGGCUCGGUAAGUCGGGUGUGAAAUUUCGAGGCUCAACCUCGAGACGCCACCUGAUACUGCUGUGGCUAGAGUCCGGUAGGGGAGCGUGGAAUUCCUGGUGUAGCGGUGAAAUGCGCAGAUAUCGGGAGGAACACCAGCGGCGAAGGCGGCGCUCUGGGCCGGUACUGACACUGAGGAGCGAAAGCGUGGGGAUCAACAGGAUUAGAUACCCUGGUAGUCCACGCCGUAAACGUUGGGCACUAGGUGUGGGGUUCUAUCAACGGACUCCGUGCCGAAGCUAACGCAUUAAGUGCCCCGCCUGGGGAGUACGGCCGCAAGGCUAAAACUCAAAGGAAUUGACGG